rnacentral:rRNA from 1 species
AUGGCCAUGACAUCCCCGAACAGCAGAGCACUGGAACGGUACAAGAGCGCCGUCACGACGGCAACUUCCGUGCUGGGCGCGGCCAUGCUGCUGCGCCGGGUGCUCGCCGACGUCCUCCCAGGCACGGCCCUCGGCGCGUUGCUCCUCCUGCCGCCAGCCUCCGCCCGGCGCCACGCCGUGCUCAUCGAGGAGUUCGACGGCACCCUGUACAACCGUGUCUUCUUGGUGGCCAAGGCGUACGUUUCCACGCUCCUCGCCGCGGCACCGUUCGUGCCGCUGAUGAAGGCCAGCCUGCCUCGCGGGGCUGGUGCGGAGCACGUCCUGCUCGCCCUGCGCCCCGGCACGGCGGUCGUCGACGUGUUCGACGGGGCGAAGGUCACGUGGCGCCUAAGCAGGAAGCACGACGGGGGCGCCGGCAGGCGGCGGGCCACGGAGGACGCGCGCGAGGUGUUCAAGCUCAGCUUCGACGCCGAGCACAAGGACAUGGUGCUCGGCUCCUACCUGCCGGCCGUCAUGGCCCGCGUGGAGGCCAUGUCCCAGGAGCAGAGGCAGACCAAGCUGUACAGCAACGAGUGGGGCAAGUGGCGGACAGUGAGGCUCCGCAACGCCUCGACGUUCGCGACGGUGGCCAUGGACGACGCGCUGCGGCAGGCUGUGGUGGACGACCUGGACAGGUUCUUGACCCGGAAGGAGUACUACCGGCAGACGGGGAGGGCGUGGAAGAGGGGCUACCUGGUCCACGGCCCGCCCGGCACCGGCAAGUCCAGCCUGGUCGCCGCGAUCUCCAACCACCUCCAUUUCGACGUGUAUGACCUCGACGUCGGCGGCGUCAGGUCCAACACCGAGCUGAGGAAACUGCUGAUUCGGAUGAAGAACAGGUCCAUAUUGUUGGUCGAAGAUGUCGACUGCGCCAUGGCGACGGCGCCACGGAGAGAGGCGACGGGAAGCUCCGACGGGGGCAGCCCUGCUUCCAAGAAUCACAAGGUCACUCUGUCCGGGCUGCUCAACAUGGUGGACGGCCUCUGGUCCAGCAGCGGCCAUGAGCGGAUCCUCAUCUUCACCACCAACCACAAAGACCGGCUAGACCCGGCGCUGCUCCGGCCUGGCCGGAUGGACAUGCACGUCCACAUGGGCUACUGCGGCUUCGUCGCCUUCAGGGAGCUCGCGGCCAACUACCACGGCAUCCAAGACCACCGGCUCUUCCCGGAGAUCGAGGCGCUUCUGCGGGAGGUGGAGGUGGCACCGGCGGAGGUCGCCGAGAGGCUGCUUAUGACCGACGAUGCCGAUGCCGCUGUCGAGAUGGCCGCGAAGCUGCUGAGAGACAGGAAGGCGGGGACCGGGGAAGAUGGCGGGUACAUCAAGCAGAAACUGCACGUAGGGCCUAGGCGCCCGCGUCGGCCCCCGGCUGCAAGACGGGCGGUGCUUGACGAGGGAAUUGGUGGGUCCUCACGACGAGGCCAGGGGCGUGGACCAGGGGCAGGGCGACGUGGCCGGGGUGAGGUGCGCGGACGAGGACGGCGAUAG